GUUCACUGGCAGCUCCUCAGGGCUGCUGACUUGUCCCGGCCUCUCUUUCCUUUCCUUGUGGUGCCCUCAGGGGUGGCCGGAUUGGGGAGGAGGCCUGGACCGAAGAGCAGAGGCGGAGGAGGAGGGGCUCUGUGGUGAGGACAGGGCACCCAUCCCGCGUAGCCUGACCCCUACCUGCUCCUGUUGCUUCACCACAAGGCCAGCAAGUCGAGGGUCUCCACGGCACGGGGUGGUCGGCCAGAGGCGUGUAGGCAGAGUCGCGGGACGCAGCGGGAAGAGAAGCACACAAGAGGAACUCUUCCCUCUGCUCCAAGUCCUUCUGGAGACAGUCGGGCCUGGCUUCCGGGUCAGGUGGGGGUCACGAAAAAGGGGCGGGGCAUCCGGGGGCAGGUCUCCAGAGGGAGGAGGCGGCUCAGUCCUCCAGUUAGAGAUGGGGUCUUGGGUCCCCUGCCCAGGGACCCGCUUCCAGGGCUCCCCCAGGACCUCGUGGAGACCCCGCAGGGCGCCUGCUCGGGAGUCUGUCUCUCAAUGGCCCGGAGACUGCGGAGUUUGCCCAGUGGGCGCAGCCCUAUCCACUCCAGCCCAGGGGUCCCCAGAAGAGACAGGGCUGCCACGCAGGCGCUGGGCACGAUAGUUUAAAGGAAAAUGCGCAAAUGGGCGAAGACGGGCACCAAGGCCAGAGAGGAGGACUCCAUCGCGGGGCGGAAAAAAGGCGGCGGUGGCCUCACCGGGCUGAGGAAAGAGGCGGGAGCUGCUUGCGCAGGCGCGAUUAGCCCUGAACUAACGUCUGCUGCCAGUUCUUCUCUUUUUGCUGAGGAAGGUCGGCCCUGAGCUAACAUCUCUGCCCAUCUUCCUCUAUUCUAUAUGUGGGAUGCCUGCCACAGCACGGCUUGAUGGGCCCCGGGAAUCUGUCCAGCAGUCGUCCAGAAGGAGAAACCUCCGCGCUUCACUUACGGUGAGCACUGCCGCUGCCUUGGACUAGGAGAAAGUCCGCAGGUUCAUGCUUGUGUAUAACGCUUUGAGCCUUUAGCUCUGAACCAGUGCAUCACCCUUUGGCCCUGGGUUUGUUGAAACGUCUGGAGCACUCCGCCUGCAAGUGCCGUUCCGGGAAUGGCAGAGGAAAGUAGCUGAGGCAGCAGUGAACUCCUAGGAGCACUUCUCUUGGAUACCGCGUUUAUGGGAGUGGGAGCUAAGCCUGUCUAAGGGGUGGGAAAUGUCGCUGCACUGCUAGUGAUGCCAUAACUCAGCCGUGAGCCACCAGGAGCCUUUGGAACUGCAUGUUCUCAGAGUUCCACGGUUCAGGCGGCAGGGAGCUUGUAAACGUGUGCUAGUCGUAUGUGUCACAAGCACCCACCUUUAUAAUCAAAUAAUUG
rnacentral:lncRNA from 1 species